rnacentral:ncRNA from 1 species
UUUGAGAGUAGAAGCGGUCAGCGGCUUUGCUGCGGGACAUUGCUCCAUUG